rnacentral:tRNA from 2 species
GACUCGGUAGCUCAGCUGGUAGAGCACAUCACUUUUAAUGAUGGGGUCCUGGGUUCGAAUCCCAGCCGGGUCACUA